GCGAUUCUGAGGUGAAAUUAAGGAUGAAAAUCAUAUGAAAGAGGAAAAGGUCAGAGAAAAGAAGCAAGAGUAGGGAAAUAAAAGGCAAAAGAAAAUCACAGAAAGAGGCAGAACAAAGGCCAUCUUCACUUUGCACUUAACUCAGCUUCCUUUGCAACUCUGUCAGUGGAAGACAAGUUGGGGUAGACAGGGUACAAGGACAGCAUGGAAGAAAGAAAAAAAUGCAUCCCAUUUUUUGUUAUUUUCUCAACAGUCUCUGAAAGAAAAGAAAAAGAAGUGUAGCUCUCUGUAUCCGACAAAAUGGCGCAUAAUCAUCUGUGAAAAUUGGAGGUCUGCAUGCUUCUCAAAUUGAGCUGUAACACUCACUGCUGCGGUCCAAGCCUUCAUUCUUUGAAGCCCGUGGAACCACAAACUCUUCAAUUGAUAAAAACCUUCGAUCGGAAGAGACUUCUCAUCUCAUUUCUGGGGGCCUGUCCGGGAUUUCUCUGAAGUGAUGGGAGGCGCUCCCUCAAAAGUGAAGCCACCCUUGAGGUAUAUUCUGGAUAAUUGGGACCAAUUCGACCCUCAAACACUGAAGAAGAAGUAACAUAUUUUUCUGCAGCACUGCCUAGCCAUAAUAUCCUCUUCCCGGAGGAGAUCCAUGGCCACCUGAGGGAAGUAUAAACUAUAAUACCAUCCUACAGCUAGAUCUCUUUAGUAAACGAGAGGGCAAAUGGAGUGAAGUGCCAUAUGUACAGGUUUUUUUCUCAUUAAGAGAUAACCCACAAUUAUGUAAAAAAUGUAAUUUACAUCCUACCGGGAGUCCUUAAAGCUUACCCCCAUACCCAGGUCUCCCCACAGCUCCCCCUAGUAAGGACUCUCCUUUGGCCCUAAUGGCCCAAAAGGAACCAGACAAAAAAAUAGUCAAGGAACUGAAAGGUGCCAAUGGUCUCAAUUGUGCCCCCUCCAAGCCGUGGUAGGAGGAGGAGACUUUGGCCCAGCACGAGUACAUGUCCCCUUUCCCCUCUCAGACUUAAAACAGAUCAAACCGGGCCUAGGAAAAUUCUCAGAUAAUCCUGAUGGAUACAUAGAUGUCUUACAGGGAUUAGGACAAUCUUUUGAUUUAGCAUGGAAAGAUAUUACAUUGUUGUUAGGUCAAACAUUAACUCCCAAUGAAAAAGAGGCCGUCUUAACUGCAGCCCGGAAGUUUGGGGAUCUCUGGUACCUAAGCCAGGUAAAUGAUAAAAUAACAUCAGAAGAAAGGGAACAAUUCCCCACAGGCCAACAGGUGGUUCCCAGCGUGGAUCCCCACUGGGACCUCGAUUUGUAGCAUGGAGCCUGGAGUCGCAGGCAUUUACUGACUUGUAUACUAAAGGGAUUAAGAAAGACCAGAAAAAAAUCCAAUAAAUUAGUCAAUGAUAUAAUGCAGGGAAAGGAAGAAAACCCCAUGGCAUUUUUAAAGAGGCUAAGGGAGGCAUUAAGAAAGCAUACCUCUUUGCAUCUGACUCUAUUAAAGGCCAACUAAUUUUAAAGGAUAAGUUUAUCACCUAGUCAGCUGCAGACAUUAGAAAAAAACUUCAAAAGUCUUUCCUGGGCCCUAAGCAAAAUCUGGAAACUCUAUUGAAUUUGGCAACUUCAGUGUUUUAUAAUAGGGAUCAGGAGAAGCAGGCUGAACGAGACAGAUGAGACAAGAAAAAGGCUGCCUCCUUAGUCACAGCCCUCAGGCAAUAGAACUUCGGUGGCUCUGAAAGAAAGAAAGGCUGGGCAGGCAACCCACCUAACAGGGCUUGUUAUCAGUGCAACUUACAGGGGCACUUCAAAAAGGACUGCCCAAACAAACAUAAGCCGCCCCCUCAUCCAUGUCCCUUGUGCCAGGGGGAUCAGUGGAAGGCACACUGCUCCCAAGGGCGAAGGUCCUCUGGGCCAGGGGCCACUAACCAGAUGGUCCAACAACAGGACUGAGGGUGCCUGGGGCAGGCACCAGCCCAUGCCAUCACCCUCACAGAGCCCCAGGUAAGCUUAACCAUUGAGGGACAGGAAACUAACUUUCUCCUGGACACUGGUGCAGCCUUCUCAGUUUUACUCUUCUGUCCCAGACAACAAUCCUCCAGGUCUGUCAAAUCAAAAGGGUCCUAGGACAGCCAGUCACUAGGUAUUUCUCCCACCCCCUAAGUUAUGACUGGGGAAACUUAUUUUUCUCAUGUGCCUUUCUUAUUAUGCCAGAGAGCCCUACUCCUUUACUAGGGAGGGACACAUUAGCUAAAGCAGGGGCCAUUAUAUACUUGAAUAUAGGAGAAGGAAUACCGGUUUUCUGCCCUCUACUAUUGUGAUGCUGCUUAUCUUUGGACCCUGCAUUUUUAACCUCCUUGUAAAAUUUGUCUCUUCCAGAAUAGAAUCCAUGAAACUGCAAGUGGUUCUACAAAUGGAGCCCCAAAUGACCACCACUAGCACCUACUAUCGAGGACCCCUAGACUGACCUACCAACCUGUUCUAACACCACGACACUGAAGAAGACUCCCCUCCUGAGGAACCCUCAACUGCAGAUCCCCUUCUGUGCCCCAGUUCAGCAGGAAGUAGCUAGAAUGAUCAUUGCCCAACUUCUCAACAGCACUUGGGCUUUCCUGUUGAGAGGGGGUACUGAGGCACUAAGUGGCUAAGUUAGCUAGACUUCCUGGGUCAACAGGGACUUCCCUAAGGGGACAUUCCUCUAAGCCAAAAUGAGUCAUAGCUGCAAGCUAAGGGAUUGAAACUUCAACCAAUCAAAGGGGACUUUCUCCUAAGCAAAAAUGAGUCACUGCUGCAAACUAAGUGAUUGAAACUUCACCCAAUCAUAUAGGGAGUUUAAGCUUUAGCUGCAGCCUGAUGUUUUUAACCAAUCAGGCCUGCCAACCCACAAGCAGAUAGAAAAUAAGCUAAUCCUAUGGGACAGAAAAAGGAAAAGGGGAGGAGUCAUAAGAGGAUAUAAGCAUAAGACACCCAAGCCAGAAACGGAAACCCUUCCGGGUCUCCUUCCACCACGUGGAAGCUUUACUUUUGCUUUUACUUUACUUUCACUUUAAUAAACCUUGGCGCUGCACACUCUUUGGGUCUG
rnacentral:lncRNA from 1 species